GGCCGUUGGUCGAGCGCUUGCCGCUGGGGGUGCGGUCCCGGUCCGCGCGACACCUGUCGCCUUCGGGUUCCGCGGCGGGUUCGGGUUCCGCGGCGGCUUC
rnacentral:tRNA from 1 species